rnacentral:rRNA from 1 species
CAGCAGCCACGGUAAUACGAAGGGGGCUAGCGUUGCUCGGAAUGACUGGGCGUAAAGGGCGCGUAGGCGGUUCACGCAGUCAGAUGUGAAAUUCCUGGGCUUAACCUGGGGGCUGCAUUUGAGACGCGUGGGCUUGAGUGUGAAAGAGGGUCGUGGAAUUCCCAGUGUAGAGGUGAAAUUCGUAGAUAUUGGGAAGAACACCGGUGGCGAAGGCGGCGACCUGGUUCACAACUGACGCUGAGGCGCGAAAGCGUGGGGAGCAAACAGGAUUAGAUACCCCCGUAGUCCCUGUCUCUUAUAC